rnacentral:rRNA from 1 species
AUGGCGACUGCGGGCCUGCUGCGGAGGGAGAAGGAGCAGUUCGGCUCUUCCCCCUUCACUGGACAGACGACGAUCGAAAGCAAGAUCCAGGCCCUGGAAGACCACAUUGGCGCCACCAAGGUUAGCAACAGGAGAUCGUGCCGGUGGCUCAACGACCGGCUGCUGCUGGAGCUGGUCCCCCGUCUUGGCGCCGACGAGAUCAAAGGCCUCUUCGCUCCGCCACCAUGGGGUGAGGAGCUGCCCCUGUCUGCAUUCUGCAUGACAAGUUCUGCUGCUGCAUGGGAUGUCUUCAGGACCAUCGACAUGGAUGUUCAGGCAAACUUGUUGCAAUUUCACAUGAGACAAUCAUGCGCGGAUCGGAAGAGCAGUCGUCUGGACGAAGACGAGGAGAUUGCGCUGAACGCUUGGCACCGUAUCGGUCGCCAGACAAGAGAAGUUAUCAAGAGGAACUUCCUGCCUGACCUGCUUCGGAUGUACGAAGAACGAGUGAGGGCCUUCAUCCAAGACACGAGGGACUUGCUUGCACUCGAUGUCCAGGACCCAUUCCAGAGGCUGCUCCUACACGGCGUGUGCGAGUUCUACAAUGUGGCAGGAGCAGCACCGUGA